GGGUUGUGAGGUUAAGCGACUAAGCGUACACGGUGGAUGCCCUGGCAGUCAGAGGCGAUGAAGGGCGUGCUAAUCUGCGAUAAGCGCCGGUAAGGUGAUAUGAACCGUUAUAACCGGCGAUACCCGAAUGGGGAAACCCAGUGUGAUUCGUCACACUAUCAUUAACUGAAUCCAUAGGUUAAUGAGGCGAACCACUGAUCUAAGUCCCGAGGAAUCAAAGAUUGUAGCGGCGCGAACGAGGAGCCUGAAUCAGGUGUGUUAGUGGAAGUGGGUGCGCGACACAGUACACGCUCUGAGUCGGAGUAGGGCGGGACACGUGGUCCUGUGAAUAUCCAUCCUCCUAAAUCCUGACACCGUAGUGAACAGUUGAGGGAAAGGCGGGAGCUGAAACCGUGUACGUACCUGGGAGGGUUUACCUGUGUGAGCGUACCUUUUGUAUAAUGGGUCAGCGACUUAUAUUCUGUAGCAAGGUUAACCGUAUAGGGGAGCCGUAGGGAAACCGAGUCUUAACCGGGCGUUAAGUUGCAGGGUAUAGACCCGAAACCCGGUGAUCUAGCCAUGGGCAGGUUGAAGGUUGGGUAACACUAACUGGAGGACCGAACCGACUAAUGUUGAAAAAUUAGCGGAUGACCUGUGGCUGGGGGUGAAAGGCCAAUCAAACCGGGAGAUAGCUGGUUCUCCCCGAAAGCUAUUUAGGUAGCGCCUCGUGAAUUCAUCUCCGGGGGUAGAGCACUGUUUCGGCUAGGGGGCCAUCCCGGCUUACCAACCCGAUGCAAACUGCGAAUACCGGAGAAUGUUAUCACGGGAGACACACGGCGGGUGCUAACGUCCGUCGUGAAGAGGGAAACAACCCAGACCGCCAGCUAAGGUCCCAAAGUCAUGGUUAAGUGGGAAACGAUGUGGGAAGGCCCAGACAGCCAGGAUGUUGGCUUAGAAGCAGCCAUCAUUUAAAGAAAGCGUAAUAGCUCACUGGUCGAGUCGGCCUGCGCGGAAGAUGUAACGGGGCUAAACCAUGCACCGAAGCUGCGGCAGCGAACGUAUCACCCAAGACAACUUUACGGAGUUGACGAUUGACGGAGCGAAGCGACGUCAAAGCGUUCAUUAAAGUCGAGUUGGCUUAGGGAUACGUUCGUUGGGUAGGGGAGCGUUCUGUAAGCCUGUGAAGGUGUGUCGUGAGGCAUGCUGGAGGUAUCAGAAGUGCGAAUGCUGACAUAAGUAACGAUAAAGCGGGUGAAAAGCCCGCUCGCCGGAAGACCAAGGGUUCCUGUCCAACGUUAAUCGGGGCAGGGUGAGUCGACCCCUAAGGCGAGGCCGAAAGGCGUAGUCGAUGGGAAACGGGUUAAUAUUCCCGUACUUGGUGUUACUGCGAAGGGGGGACGGAGAAGGCUAUGUUGGCCGGGCGACGGUUGUCCCGGUUUAAGCGUGUAGGUGUGUGUUCCAGGUAAAUCCGGUUCACUUUAACACUGAGGCGUGACGACGAGGCACUACGGUGCUGAAGCAACAAAUGCCCUGCUUCCAGGAAAAGCCUCUAAGCAUCAGGUAACACGAAAUCGUACCCCAAACCGACACAGGUGGUCAGGUAGAGAAUACCAAGGCGCUUGAGAGAACUCGGGUGAAGGAACUAGGCAAAAUGGUGCCGUAACUUCGGGAGAAGGCACGCUGACACGUAGGUGAAGUGAUUUACUCAUGGAGCUGAAGUCAGUCGAAGAUACCAGCUGGCUGCAACUGUUUAUUAAAAACACAGCACUGUGCAAACACGAAAGUGGACGUAUACGGUGUGACGCCUGCCCGGUGCCGGAAGGUUAAUUGAUGGGGUCAGCGCAAGCGAAGCUCCUGAUCGAAGCCCCGGUAAACGGCGGCCGUAACUAUAACGGUCCUAAGGUAGCGAAAUUCCUUGUCGGGUAAGUUCCGACCUGCACGAAUGGCGUAAUGAUGGCCAGGCUGUCUCCACCCGAGACUCAGUGAAAUUGAACUCGCUGUGAAGAUGCAGUGUACCCGCGGCAAGACGGAAAGACCCCGUGAACCUUUACUAUAGCUUGACACUGAACAUUGAGCCUUGAUGUGUAGGAUAGGUGGGAGGCUUUGAAGUGUGGACGCCAGUCUGCAUGGAGCCGACCUUGAAAUACCACCCUUUAAUGUUUGAUGUUCUAACGUGGACCCGUAAUCCGGGUUGCGGACAGUGUCUGGUGGGUAGUUUGACUGGGGCGGUCUCCUCCUAAAGAGUAACGGAGGAGCACGAAGGUUGGCUAAUCCUGGUCGGACAUCAGGAGGUUAGUGCAAUGGCAUAAGCCAGCUUGACUGCGAGCGUGACGGCGCGAGCAGGUGCGAAAGCAGGUCAUAGUGAUCCGGUGGUUCUGAAUGGAAGGGCCAUCGCUCAACGGAUAAAAGGUACUCCGGGGAUAACAGGCUGAUACCGCCCAAGAGUUCAUAUCGACGGCGGUGUUUGGCACCUCGAUGUCGGCUCAUCACAUCCUGGGGCUGAAGUAGGUCCCAAGGGUAUGGCUGUUCGCCAUUUAAAGUGGUACGCGAGCUGGGUUUAGAACGUCGUGAGACAGUUCGGUCCCUAUCUGCCGUGGGCGCUGGAGAACUGAGGGGGGCUGCUCCUAGUACGAGAGGACCGGAGUGGACGCAUCACUGGUGUUCGGGUUGUCAUGCCAAUGGCACUGCCCGGUAGCUAAAUGCGGAAGAGAUAAGUGCUGAAAGCAUCUAAGCACGAAACUUGCCCCGAGAUGAGUUCUCCCUGAGACUUAGAGUCUCCUGAAGGAACGUUGAAGACGACGACGUUGAUAGGCCGGGUGUGUAAGCGCAGCGAUGCGUUGAGCUAACCGGUACUAAUGAACCGUGAGGCUUAACCUUACAACGCCGAAG
rnacentral:rRNA from 1 species